rnacentral:lncRNA from 1 species
AAUUUUGAAUCACACAACCUAACCAACACAAAUUUAAUUUGAAUUCAACCUGAGAUUAGAGAAAUGAUGUUAGGUUGAACCUGUGUUGAGUACCCAAACCAACCCAAACUCAACCCUAGUUGAGAGAAAUAAUGUUUGAUUGACUUUGUGUCGAGUAUGUUAGAUUGGGCUUUUGUUGAAUACCUUGGAUUAGAAGUCAAAUUGAAUUCGAUUGGAUUUAGAUUGAUCAUUUAUUAAUUUGUGUUGGACUAAAAAUAACUACCAAUGCAACCAAUCUAACCAAGUUGCAACCUUAUUUCAUACCAAUGGUUGAGGACUGAUUAUUAAAAAACUUCACUCUUAAUCGUAUGUUACAUGAAAAUGGAGAAUAGUUGAAAAUAAAUUCCCUAAUUUUUUUAGAACAAAAAUCUAUUUAAAAACUAAAAAUUCACACCUUAUUUUAUGAGGUUUUAAAUAUUUAUUAAAAAUAACUUUUAUAUAUAAUAUUUUUAAAAACUAAAAAUCCACAUCUUAUUUUAUGAGGUUUUAAAUAUUUAUUAAAAAUAACUUCUAUAUAUAAUAUUUUAUUUUCCAUCAGACUCCACAUUUAUACAAUUAUUUUUUUAAACAUUGAAACCAAUUAAAGCAUGUCAUCAGAAAACACCAUAUUUUCAAAAU